UACGGGGGGAGCAAGCGUUGUUCGGAUUUACUGGGCGUAAAGGGCGCGUAGGCGGCGUGACAAGUCACUUGUGAAAUCUCCGGGCUUAACUCGGAGCGGCCAAGUGAUACUGUCGUGCUAGAGUGCGGAAGGGGCUACUGGAAUUCUCGGUGUAGCGGUGAAAUGCGUAGAUAUCGAGAGGAACACCUGCGGCGAAGGCGGGUAACUGGGCCGACACUGACGCUGAGGCGCGAAAGCUAGGGGAGCGAACGGG
rnacentral:rRNA from 1 species